UGGGGGAACCCACUAUCUUUAGUCGGAUAGUAUCCUUACGUGAAUACAUAGCGUAAGGAAGGCAGACCCAGGGAACUGAAACAUCUAAGUACCUGGAGGAAGAGAAAGAAAAAUCGAUUUCCUGAGUAGCGGCGAGCGAAACGGAAAGAGCCCAAACCAAGAAGCUUGCUUCUUGGGGUUGUAGGACACUCUAUACGGAGUUACAAAAGAAAGUUAUAAAUGAAGCGGUCUGGAAAGGCCCGCCAAAGACGGUAACAGCCCGGUAGUUGAAAUGGCUUUCCCUCCAGAGUGGAUCCUGAGUACGGCGGAACACGUGAAAUUCCGUCGGAAUCCGGGAGGACCAUCUCCCAAGGCUAAAUACUCCCUAGUGACCGAUAGUGAACCAGUACCGUGAGGGAAAGGUGAAAAGCACCCCGGAAGGGGAGUGAAACAGUUCCUGAAACCGUGUGCCUACAAGUAGUUAGAGCCCGUUAAUGGGUGAUAGCGUGCCUUUUGUAGAAUGAACCGGCGAGUUACGAUUUGUUGCAAGGUUAAGCGGAAAAAGCGGAGCCGUAGCGAAAGCGAGUCUGAAUAGGGCGCAUAAGUAACAGGUCGUAGACCCGAAACCAGGUGAUCUACCCAUGUCCAGGAUGAAGGUAAGGUAAUACUUACUGGAGGUCCGAACCCACGCACGUUGAAAAGUGCGGGGAUGAGGUGUGGGUAGCGGAGAAAUUCCAAUCGAACUUGGAGAUAGCUGGUUCUCUCCGAAAUAGCUUUAGGGCUAGCCUCGAGGUAAAGAGUCAUGGAGGUAGAGCACUGUUUGGACUAGGGGCCCUUCUCGGGUUACCGAAUUCAGAUAAACUCCGAAUGCCAUGUACUUAUACUCGGGAGUCAGACUGCGAGUGAUAAGAUCCGUAGUCGAAAGGGAAACAGCCCAGACCACCAGUUAAGGUCCCCAAAUAUAUGUUAAGUGGAAAAGGAUGUGGGGUUGCUUAGACAACCAGGAUGUUGGCUUAGAAGCAGCCACCAUUGAAAGAGUGCGUAAUAGCUCACUGGUCGAGUGACCCCGCGCCGAAAAUGUACCGGGGCUAAACAUAUUA
rnacentral:rRNA from 1 species